ACGAACGCUGGCGGCGCGCUUCACACAUGCAAGUCGAACGGAAAGGCCUGCUUUCCCUUGUGGAUUGCGGGUACUCGAGUGGCGAACGGGUGAGUAACACGUGAGUGAUCUGCCCCCAACUUGGGUAUAAGCCUGGGAAACUGGGUCUAAUUCCCGAUAGGACUGCAGGGUGGUGCCUGUGGUGGAAAACGAUUUUCUAGUGGUUGGGGAUGAGCUCGCGGCCUAUCAGCUUGUUGGUGGGGUAAUGGCCUACCAAGGCGGCGACGGGUAGCCGGCCUGAGAGGGUGGACGGGCACAUUGGGACUGAGAUACGGCCCAGACUCCUACGGGAGGCAGCAGUGGGGAAUAUUGCACAAUGGGCGGAAGCCUGAUGCAGCGACGCCGCGUGGGGGAUGACGGCCUUCGGGUUGUAAACUCCUUUCGACCGCGAGGAAGCCACCUGGUUGGAAGGGUGGUGACGGUAGUGGUAGAAGAAGCACCGGCUAACUACGUG
rnacentral:rRNA from 1 species